rnacentral:rRNA from 1 species
CCUACGGGAGGCAGCAGUGGGGAAUCUUGCGCAAUGGGCGAAAGCCUGACGCAGCAACGCCGCGUGCGGGAAGAAGGCUUUCGGGCUGUAAACCGCUUUCAGCAGGAACGAAAAUGACGGUACCUGCAGAAGAAGGAGCGGCCAACUAUGUGCCAGCAGCCGCGGUGAUACAUAGGCUUCAAGCGUUGUCCGGAUUUAUUGGGCGUAAAGAGUUCGUAGGCGGUCGAGUAAGUCGGGUGUGAAAAUUCUGGGCUCAACCCAGAGACGCCACCCGAUACUGCUUGACUUGAGUUCGAUAGGGGAGUGGGGAAUUCCUAGUGUAGCGGUGAAAUGCGCAGAUAUUAGGAGGAACACCGGUGGCGAAGGCGCCACUCUGGAUCGAUACUGACGCUGAGGAACGAAAGCAUGGGUAGCAAACAGGAUUAGAUACCCUGGUAGUCCAUGCCGUAAACGGUGGGCACUAGGUGUGGGUUUCUAUUAACGAAAUCCGCGCCGUCGCUAACGCAUUAAGUGCCCGCCUGGGGAGUACGGUCGCAAGACUAAACUUAAAGGAAUUGAACGG